CCUACGGGUGGCUGCAGUGAGGAAUAUUGGUCAAUGGACGAGAGUCUGAACCAGCCAAGUAGCGUGAAGGAUGACUGCCCUAUGGGUUGUAAACUUCUUUUAUAUGGGAAGAAAACGUUUCACGUGUGGGCUUUUGUAUGUACCCUAUGAAUAAGGAUCGGCUAACUCCGUGCCAGAAGCCACGGUAAUACGGAGGAUACGAGCGUUAUCCGGAUUUAUUGGGUUUAAAGGGGGCGUAGGUGGAUUGUUAAGUCAGUUGGUAAAGUUUGUGGCUCAACCGUAAAAUUGCAGUUGAAACUGGCAGUCUUGAGUACGGUAGAGGUGGGCGGAAUUCGAGGUGUAGCGGUGAAAUGCUUAGAUAUCACGAAGAACUCCAAUUGCGAAGGCAGUUCACUGGACUGCAACUGACACUGAGGCUCGAAAGUGUGGGUAUCAAACAGGAUUAGAUACCCUUGUAGUC
rnacentral:rRNA from 1 species